UACGUAGGGUCCGAGCGUUGUCCGGAAUUACUGGGCGUAAAGGGCUCGUAGGCGGCCAACUAAGUCAGACGUGAAAUCCCUCGGCUUAACCGGGGAACUGCGUCUGAUACUGGAUGGCUUGAGAUUGGGAGAGGGAUGCGGAAUUCCAGGUGUAGCGGUGAAAUGCGUAGAGAUCGGGAGGAACACCUGUGGCGAAGGCGGCCGACUGGGCCGACCCUGACGCUGAGGCGCGAAGGCGUGGGGAGCGAACGGGG
rnacentral:rRNA from 1 species